AGCAGCCGCCGCGGUAAUACGAAGGGUGCAAGCGUUAAUCGGAAUUACUGGGCGUAAAGCGUGCGUAGGUGGUGGUUUAAGUCCGUUGUGAAAGCCCUGGGCUCAACCUGGGAAUUGCAGUGGAUACUGGAUCACUAGAGUGUGGUAGAGGAUAGUGGAAUUUCCGGUGUAGCAGUGAAAUGCGUAGAGAUCGGAAGGAACAUCUGUGGCGAAGGCGACUAUCUGGGCCAACACUGACACUGAGGCACGAAAGCGUGGGGAGCAAACAGGAUUAGAUACCCCGGUAGUCCCUGUCUCUUAUAC
rnacentral:rRNA from 1 species